rnacentral:tRNA from 1 species
GCCUCCGUAGCUCAGGGGAUAGAGCGCCGGUUUCCGGUACCGUAGGUCGGGAGUUCGAAUCUCUCCGGGGGCACCA